AGCGAACGCUGGCGGCGUGCCUAACACAUGCAAGUCGAACGUGAAAAGGGGCAACCCUUAGUAAAGUGGCGUACGGGUGAGUAACACGUGGGUAAUCUACCCUAAAGUCUGGAAUAACCUGCCGAAAGGCGGGCUAAUACUGGAUAGAGCGAUGAAAGUCAUAAAGACUUUUUCGGGAACGGAAGGGAGCAAUCUCCUUUGCUUUAGGAUGAGCCUGCGUCCCAUCAGCUAGUUGGUAGGGUAAUGGCCUACCAAGGCUAUGACGGGUAGCUGGUCUGAGAGGAUGAUCAGCCACACUGGAACUGAAACACGGUCCAAACUCCUACGGGAGGCAGCAGUGGGGAAUCUUGCGAAAUGGAGGAAACUCUGACGCAGCCACGCCGCGUGAGUGAAGAAGGCCUUCGGGUUGUAAAGCCCUGUCACACGGGACGAAAACCCGGUGGGUUAAUAGCCCAUCGGACUGACGGUACCGUGGAAGGAAGCACCGGCUAACUCCGUGCCAGCCGCCGCAGUAA
rnacentral:rRNA from 1 species